AUUGAACGCUGGCGGCAGGCCUAACACAUGCCAGUCGAGCGGAAGCAGGGAGCUUGCUCCUGGAUUCAGCGGCGGACGGGUGAGUAAUGCCUAGGAAUCUGCCUGGUAGCGGGGGAUAACGUCCUGAAACGGGCGCUAAUACCCCAUACGUCCUGAGGGGGAACGUGGGGGAUCUUCGGAUCUCACGCCCUCAGAUAAGCCUAGGUCGGAUUAGCUAGUUGGUGGGGUAAAGGCCUACCAAGGCGACGAUCCGUAACUGGUCUGAGAGGAUGAUCAGUCACACUGGAACUGAGACACGGUCCAGACUCCUACGGGAGGCAGCAGUGGGGAAUAUUGGACAAUGGGCGAAAGCCUGAUCCAGCCAUGCCGCGUGUGUGAAGAAGGUCUUCGGAUUGUAAAGCACUUUAAGUUGGAAGGAAGGGCAGUAAGUUAAUACCUUGCUGUUUUGACGGUACCAACAGAAUAAGCACCGGCUAACUUCGUG
rnacentral:rRNA from 1 species